AACAAACGCUGGCGGCGUGCCUAAUACAUGCAAGUCGAACGAAUGUAGCAAUACAUGAGUGGCGUACGGGUGAGUAACACGUGGAUAAUCUUCCUUUAAGUGGGGAAUAACCAAUCGAAAGAUUGGCUAAUACCGCAUAAGACCACAGUUUCUUCGGAGACAGGGGUUAAAGGCUUCGGCCGCUUUUAGAUGAGUCUGCGUCCGAUUAGCUAGUUGGUGAGGUAAUGGCUCACCAAGGCGACGAUCGGUAACUGGGCUGAGAGGAUGACCAGUCACACUGGGACUGAGACACGGCCCAGACUCCUACGGGAGGCAGCAGUAGGGAAUAUUGCACAAUGGAGGAAACUCUGAUGCAGCGACGCCGCGUGAGUGAUGAAGGCCUUCGGGUUGUAAAGCUCUGUUCUCAGGGAAUAAUAAAUUGAAGGUACCUGAGAAGAAAGGACCGGCUAACCUCGUGCCAGCCGCCGCAGUAA
rnacentral:rRNA from 1 species